ensembl:lncRNA
GUCGGGAAAAUGCCUUCUUUUCUUGACGAAAGUGAGAUUUGGGUCGAGAAAGUCUCAUCUAUGGAGGAGAAAAGAGGUCCUGAGGGGAAGAAACGGUCGUAUUUUUGGGAGAAAAGUGGCGUUUUUGAGAGGAGAGAUCGUAGUUUUGGAGAAGAGUGGUAUGGUGUGGGAAGAAAAAUGGUCAUGUCUUUGGGAGAAAAGUGGUAUUUUGCAAGGAAGAGCUGUAUAUUUUCAGGAGAAAUGUCGGCAUGAUGCGCGAAGGAAGGGCCCUAUGUUCUGGAGAAAAGUAGCAUUAGGGGCAGAAACUGUCCUGUUUUGGAGAGAGACUUUGCAUGUUGUGGAGAAAAAAGGGAGCGCGCGAAGGAAACGUCGUCUUUUUGGAAAGCAAACAGCUUUGUAUUUGGCAGGCGAGAAGUCAUGUUUUGUGGAGAGCAGUGGUAUUUAGUGGUGAAAGAGUCUUGUUUCGGUGAGACAAGGGGUACUUGGGGGAGAAAAUGUCCUAUUCUUUCCGACCCAGAAGUGGAUUUUCUCCCCCAGAUCCUACUUUUCGCCCCGCAGUUAAGCAUCAUCUCCCACAAAAUACCACCUUUCAAACGAAAAAGAAGACCUCAGGAGCACGCUUCACAAGCUCAAGACUGCAGCACGGCAAGCUGGCAAGAGAGGAUUCUGAACUGCCAUCCUUUACACUUCCAGCCACAGCGGGCUCUGUCACGUACAGCUGCGUAGUAACAGACGGGCAGUGGCAGGGCCCUUUCUUGCCGCUCCUCUGAUACUUACGACCAAAUCUAGAAAGAAAUCGAAGCAGUUGUUCUCUGUAGAAACUAUGCCUAACCUUGUUCCUUCUACCAGCAGACAAGCCCAACACAUGCCUGCCAGUCCAAUGGUGGGUAGAAGUGUUUGGUUUGUUGUUUUGGUUGCCGUUUUUUGGUUUUUGUUUUUUUUUUUUCUGGGAGGGGGGGGGGGAGAAAAUGUCGUGUUUCCGAAAGAAGUGUAGUAUUUUGGAGAGAAAACGUUUUGUUUCCGUUUGAAAGGUGGUAUUUUGUGGGAGAUGAUGCUUAACUGCGGGGCGAAAAGUAGGAUCUGGGGGAGAAAAUCCACUUCUGGGUCGGAAAGAAUAGGACAUUUUCUCCCCCAAGUACCCCUUGUCUCACCGAAACAAGACUCUUUCUCCACUAAAUACCACUGCUCUCCACAAAACAUGACUUCUCGCCUGCCAAAUACAAAGCUGUUUGCUUUCCAAAAAGACGACGUUUCCUUCGCGCGCUCCCUUUUUUCUCCACAACAUGCAAAUUCUCUCUCCAAAACAGGACAGUUUCUCCCCCAAACGCUACUUUUCUCCAGAACAUAGGGCCCUUCCUUCGCGCAUCAUGCCACAUUUCUCCUGAAAAUAUACAGCUCUUCCUUGCAAAAUACCACUGUUCUCCCAAAGACAUGACCACUUUUCUUCCCACACCAUACCACUCUUCUCCAAAACUACGAUCUCUCCUCUCAAAAACGCCACUUUUCUCCCAAAAAUACGACUGUUUCUUCCCCUCAGGACCUCAUUUCUCCUCCAUAGAUGAGACUUUCUCGACCCAAAUCUCACUUUCGUCAAGAAAAGAAGGCAUUUUCCCGACCACAAAACCACUCUUCACCCCCAAAUCAGACUUUUCUCCCCAAAACACCACUGUGCUCCCUAAAAGAAGACACUCUCUCCCCCCACAUACCACUGCGCUCCCCAAACUAAGACGCCUACAGCCCCAAAUACCACUUCUCUACACCACACAUCACCUUUGCUCCACCAAAAUACCAC